rnacentral:tRNA from 1 species
GCUGUAGCUCAGCUGAUAGAGCGUCCGCCCGGUCUGCGGAGGGUCGCUGGUUCGACUCCGGCUCACAGCG